rnacentral:rRNA from 1 species
UACGUAGGGUGCGAGCGUUGUCCGGAAUUAUUGGGCGUAAAGAGCUUGUAGGCGGUUUGUCGCGUCUGCCGUGAAAGCCCAGGGCUUAACCCUGGGUCUGCGGUGGGUACGGGCAGACUAGAGUGUGGUAGGGGAGACUGGAAUUCCUGGUGUAGCGGUGAAAUGCGCAGAUAUCAGGAGGAACACCGAUGGCGAAGGCAGGUCUCUGGGCCACUACUGACGCUGAGAAGCGAAAGCAUGGGGGAGCAAACAGG